GAUGAACGCUGGCGGCGUGCCUAAUACAUGCAAGUCGAGCGAACGGACGCGAAGCUUGCUUCUCUGAUGUUAGCGGCGGACGGGUGAGUAACACGUGUAUAACCUACCUAUAAGACUGGGAUAACUUCGGGAAACCGGAGCUAAUACCGGAUAAUAUUUUGAACCGCAGGGUUCAAUAGUGAAAGACGGUCUUGCUGGCACUUAUAGAUGGAUCCGCGCUGCAUUAGCUAGUUGGUAAGGUAACGGCUUACCAAGGCAACGAGGCAUUGACGACCUGGGAGAGUGAUCGGCCACCCUGGGACGUGACCGGCGACCAUGGUCCUACGGGAGGCAGCAGUAGGCUAUGUGCCGCAGUGGGCGAGAGCCUGACGGAGCAACGCCGCGUGAGUGAUGGAAGUCCCCCGAUCGUGAUACUCUGUUAUGAGGGGUGAACAGAUGUGUAAGUUACUGUGCACAGCGUGACGGUACCUGGUCAGAAAGCCACGGCUAACUACGUG
rnacentral:rRNA from 1 species